CCUACGGGAGGCUGCAGUGGGGAAUAUUGCGCAAUGGGCGUAAGCCUGACGCAGCGACGCCGCGUGAGUGAUGAAGGUCUUCGGAUCGUAAACCUCUGUCCGCAGGGAAGAACGUUCACAGUGCUAAUCAGCAGUGAAUUGACGGUACCUGCAAAAGCAGCACCGGCUAACUCCGUGCCAGCAGCCGCGGUAAUACGGAGGGUGCGAGCGUUGAUCGGAAUUACUGGGCGUAAAGCGCACGUAGGCGGUAUGUCAAGUCAAGGGUGAAAGCCCAGAGCUCAACUUUGGAACUGCCUUUGAAACUGGAAAACUGGAGUGUGUGAGAGGAUAGUGGAAUUCCAGGUGUAGGAGUGAAAUGCGUAGAUAUCUGGAGGAACAGCAGUGGCGAAGGCGACUAGCUGGCAUAUAACUGACGCUGAGGAGCGAGAGCGUGGGUAGCAAACAGGAUUAGAUACCCGGGUAGUC
rnacentral:rRNA from 1 species